CCUACGGGUGGCAGCAGUAGGGAAUUUUCGGCAAUGGGGGGAACCCUGACCGAGCAACGCCGCGUGAAGGAAGAAGGAAUUCGUUCUGUAAACUUCUGUUAUAAAGGAAGAAAGACGGAUGGAGGAAAUGACAUCCGAGUGACGGUACUUUAUGAGAAAGCCACGGCUAACUACGUGCUAGCAGCCUCGGUAAUACGGAGGUGGCCAGCGUUAUCCGGAGUUAUUGGGAGUAAAGAGGGAGCAGGCGGCAGCAAAGGUCUGUGGUGAAAGACUGAAGCUUAACUUCAGUAAGCCAUAGAAACCGGUCGGCUAGAGUGCAGGAGAGGUACGUGGAAUUUCUUGUGUAGCGGUGAAAUGCGUAGAUAUAUGGAGGAACACCAGUGGCGAAGGCGACGAUCUGGCCUGCAACUGACGCUCAGUCCCGAAAGCGUGGGGAGCAAAUAGGAUUAGAUACCCCGGUAGUC
rnacentral:rRNA from 1 species